UACAGGGGGGGCAAGCGUUGUUCGGAAUUACUGGGCGUAAAGGGCCAGUAGGCGGCCAACUAAGUCCGACGUGAAAUCCCCAGGCUUAACCUGGGAACUGCGUCGGAUACUGGAUGGCUUGAAUUCGGGAGAGGGAUGCAGAAUUCCAGGUGUAGCGGUGAAAUGCGUAGAUAUCUGGAGGAAUACCGGUGGCGAAGGCGGCAUCCUGGACCGACAUUGACGCUGAACGGCGAAAGCCAGGGGAGCAAACGGG
rnacentral:rRNA from 1 species